rnacentral:misc_RNA from 1 species
GCAAGCUUUUCUUUUUAUGCUUUCUUGUUUUACUACUUUGUUUUGUACUUUUUUUAUUCAUUAUCUAUGUGUGCAAAUGUUUUUCCAUUUCUUAGCUGCGAAACUAGGUGCACACAGAGAGUUUUAAAUUAUAUUUUUUAUUAUAUUAUUUUAGAAAAGUGAAAUUCAUCGUCAUUUAGGUUAAUAGUCGCAUUAGGCUCUGUAACUCAUAUCAUAAUUUUUCUUUCUUGCUUUG